GACAAGGUAUCUUAUCCUGAAUACAUAGGGAUAAGAAGGGAACGCGGGGAACUGAAACAUCUAAGUACCCAUAGGAAAGGACAUCAACCGAGACUCCGUUAGUAGUGGCGAGCGAACGCGGACCAGGCCAGUGCCUGAUUGUAAAUUAGCAGAACAUUCUGGAAAGUUUGACCAUAGUGGGUGACAGUCCCGUAUGCGAAAAUGAUCAAUCAGGACUCGAGUAGGGCGGAACACGUGAAAUUCUGUCUGAACAUGGGGGGACCACCCUCCAAGCCUAAGUACUCGUGCAUCACCGAUAGCGAACCAGUACCGUGAGGGAAAGGUGAAAAGAACCCCGAUAAGGGGAGUGAAAUAGUUCCUGAAACCGGAUGCCUACAAGCAGUUGGAGCCUCUUUAUGGGGUGACAGCGUACCUCUUGCAUAAUGGGUCAGCGAGUUAGUCUUACAAGCAAGCUUAAGCCGAUAGGUGUAGGCGCAGCGAAAGCAAGUCUUAA
rnacentral:rRNA from 1 species